rnacentral:tRNA from 1 species
AACUUUUGAGCUGUUUUGAAGCGUUACGGUUUCGGCCCGUAAGGAAUAAAUAUGUUGUUUAUAAAGGUUA